GAUGAUGGGAAGCCUGUUCUUGUUUAUCGGUUUGUACGGAACUUCACCCGCGGUAGAGUACGGCCUGAGAAUUUUGUUCCAGCACCGGUGUGAGGAAAACAUCUGAGCCCAUGAAUUGCCAGACCCUGGAUACCUGAGACACAUCCACUUGCUUCUCAGGUUUGGAGUGCAUAAUGAGGAGAAAUAAAAACAGAAAGAUCUCCAGAAAGAAGCCAUGAACUUCAUCAAGACAGUGAUGAGCUACAUGUACACCUGGAGGAGAGUUCAGGAUCAAGCUCAGAAGCGCACAGCUGCCAGCAAGCAGUCUACUACUGAACUGCACCAUCUCUCCAGCCUGUGCUUACUCUUGAAUAGCCCCAAAGUAGUCAAUGGUAUGGCAAAAUAAACCUCCAUUUCAUUUAGAUUUUUAUAGUAUUUUUUGCCACUUAAAUUAUUUUAUGUAGUUGAGUAUGAUUUUUUUUCCCCCUAAGGAAUUCUAUGUAUCUCAAUUUCAAGAGUCUUCAGCCUUUAUGUUAUACAUAAUUUCCUAUAGAUUUCAAAGUUGCUUUAAUAAAAAGUUUAAUGUUAAAA
rnacentral:lncRNA from 1 species